CGUUGCCCAACACGCGUUAAUAUUAAGCCAUUAGACGGAAGAUAUUGUGGGCCAUGGUGCCAAGUUGUGAUUUUCAAGGGUGGUUUAAGCGCCAAGUGUCUACGAGAGUGCCACAAAGGGUAUGGCCGUAGUAUUCAAGGGCCAUGGACCACCGAAGGGCCAUUAGAGGGAAGAUACUGUGUGCCAUGGUGCCAAGUGUCUACGAGGGUGCCACAGAGAGUUAGGUAGACGCCCCUGCCAUGGCCUUACUCAACUAGGGCCAUGGACCACCGGAGGGCCAUUGGAGGGGAGAAAUAAUGGUCCAUAGUGCCAUAUUUUGUGAUUUUCAAGGAGUAGCUGUGAAUGGCCUCAAUGAAGAAUGCGAGAAGUCUGAACAUGAGAUACAGGAGGAGGAGGAGGAGGAGGGCCUGAUACGACAAGAAUGUGGCUUCACCUACAGGGGAUGCAUUUGAGAUUAAGGUCUGUGUGGAGGUGGGGGAGGAAGACUGCAGGAGGCUGUAGAGGGGUGGAUUGGGUGAAGGGGGACUUGACAACACUACCAUGCAAGCUGGGCUAAGGUAAUGUAUGAUUGGUUUUGUUACGCUCAAAGGGAAGGGCGAUCCCAGAUACGUCGUGGAGGCGCUGUUUUGGCCUGGCCGUAGUGAGUUUCUUUAUGUGCACCAUUUAAUUCUGCAUGUUUUCGUAUAUAAUACAUGAUGAUUAUGUUGAGUUUAUGGCUGAAAACUUGUUAUAUUCAAUAGCGACAUUUGAAAUUUGGCGCGCACGGUGAUCUCGGAUACGGUCCGGGGCGCUGUUUUGGCCCGGCCGUAGUGAAGGGGUUAAGUGUAAUCUAUGAAGGCUACUUAUCUAUAAGCAUUUAAGUGUAAGGUUCUGUGGGGUAACUAAUCUAAGUGUAAUGGUGCAUUCUGUGGGAAUUACUUAAGUGUAAUCUAUGAAGGCUACAUCUAUAAGUAUAUAAGUGUGUAAGGUCCUGUGGGGUAACUAAUCUAAGGUUAUGUACAACUACUGGUUCUGGUGCUGUGGGUAACUCCUACAAACCCUUUCUACUAUGGCUAUUAAUUAACAAAAACCUCUUACUUUCAGCUUGUGUACUGGGUUAAAAAAUAGUUAAUGUUAGAGCCGGAAGCAUCUGACAAUCCCAUCUCUUUCUUACAGGCCAAACACUGCAGAGGAGGAGGAGGAGAAGAAGGAGGAAGAAGAAGAAGAAGAAGAAGAAGAAGGAGGAGGAGGAGGAAGAAGAAGGAGGAGAAGGAGGAAGAAGAAGGAGGAGGAGGAGGAGGAGGAAGAAGAAGGAGGAGGAGGAGGAGGCAACUUAUAAAUACAGGCAGAAGUAUAUGUGCCAAGGAAAAUAUUUAAAUGAUCUGUAUUAUGUAAAGUAUUGAAUUUAAAAUAUAUCUACUAAUAAUUUCUAUGCAUGUUUACAGGGUUACAUAUUUAAGCUGUAAUAUAAUUUGUAUGUAUUUAAAUGGGGUUUUAGUUAUAAGGUGUUUGGUAUUGCUAUACUUAUAAAAUCUUCGGUUUUUGGGUAUAUAAUUCUAAGUAAGUGUUUCCCUACGUUAUUUAAGUGUAAAGUAAGUGUGUAAGGUAUUAAGUUAUAUAUUAAAGUGUGUACCGGGUUCUCUAAUAAGUGUGUAGUGAUGGGAAGUAUUUAAGUGGAAUGUAUAAAGGUUCUACACUUUUUUGCCCUUGAAAAAAAAAUACUGUGAAAUCUUUAAGUGUACUGUAUGAAGGCUAUACAUUUAUAAGUAUGUGUAACGUCCUGUGGGGGCUAACUAAUGUAAGGGUGAUUUCAUAAGUGUUACCGUAGUGGUGUGACUUAAUCAGCAACCUCUACUGCAAUUAGUCUGAGUACAAUUACUGGUUCUGGUACUCUGAGUAUUAACAAAACCUUUUAAUUUCAGUUACCAAGGACAACCUCUGCUGCUCCGGGUAUCAACUCCUGCACUCCUGGGACUGGUGUAACAUCUGCAUGCCCUCGUAAUAACUCACUCUGCUUCUGCUGUUCGUAACACCUCGCUCUGCGUCUGCUGUCGUAACGAAGAGCAUGGCUUCUGUGUACUAACUCCUGCUCGCUUAACCCGCAUGGAUUUUGUAUAACGCCUAUAGUUUUCGUGUGACGGUUCCCUUCGCUCUUCCUUCAUAACUAAUCGCACGGCUUUGCAUAAAAACUCCGGCAACUUACGGCUUAAAUUUCGCAUGAGAACUACUCCUGCUUACGUAUGACAAUUCUCUCUGUCUUUCCUAACGACUCAUGGAUUUUGCAUAACCCCAUUCCAUUUCCGCUGUCAUGCUAACCCAUACUAAUGCUGGCUGGAGUAUCCUAACCCAUAGUCUAAGCUGCCGGCCAGAGCUUCAGGUGACCCCUAACUUGAAGCCUGUCGGAUCAGCGUCUAGCGAGGGAGGUUCCGUCAGGUUCCGUUCCCCCCUAGAGAUGUCUCCACCUUAAAAAAAUAGU